GUAGAUCAAUUUCUCUUAGAGAAAGGAAGGAAAUAUAUUAAAUUUCAAGUGCAAAGAACAUUUCUCAGUUUCUAUGUCUGGUGAACUCAAAAACUUACCACAUAGAUUCAAUCAAAUUACCAUUUGAUUCCUACAGUUGGCUGAUGAUCAGAACACUUUAAAAUACUUAUUUUAGACCCACUAUAUAGCAUCUAAAAGUGAGGUCCCAGAAAUUUGCUUUUCUUUCUUUCUUUCUUUCUUUCUUUCUUUCUUUCUUUCUUUCUUUCUUUCUUUCUUUUUCUUUCUUUCUUCUCUCUCUCUCUCUCUUCUCUCUCUCUCUCUCUCCUUUUCUUUGAUAGUGUGGAUCAAACCUAGGACUUUUGCACUGACCCACUCUCCAGCCCGUUUAUUUUUUAGGCUGGGCUUGAGCUCCUCCUACCCCAGGCUGCUAAACUGCUGGGAUUACAGGUGUGGGCAAUUACAGCUGGUCAGAAUCUGCAUUUUAAAAAGGCUAUUGAGGUGUUAGAGAUAUUCUGUUAGAAUUAAGCUCUACUGCCAUGAAACGAACAGGAAUUUACAGACCCCCAGCCUGCUCCUGCAAUGGUUUGGUAAUAAUGACCUUGAUGUGGGCCAUUUCCUAUUGAUCAAUGAUCCAGCUGGAAGAGGUUGUCUCUAGGAUCUUUCUAUUCAGGCUGCCGGUAAUGACCGGACUAAACACAGCCUGCAGUUCAGAUGUGUGCAGUUUUCCUCUGCAAGCAGUGUGCACGCUCAGGUUAUCUUAACUGCAUUCCUUUUCCAGUUCUUCUCUCAAGUGCCGCAGUUACUCCAAAAGAGAGCAAACAAACCGGAAGUUCAAAGUGUGCGUCUCUGCUGGCAUAAAGAGAAAGGAAGAAGGGGCAGGCGAGAAGCUUCAGGUGUUAGGUGGAUCUUGCUGAAAUUUUCUAUUUGUUUAGCAUCGAUUUCUACCAGGCUGCGUGAGCCAGGUGUGCGAUCCACAAUACGCCUACUCCACAGCCAUUCUCAGCGGCCAUGCUGGUACAAUGCCCCUUCUGAUCUGCCCCGCACGGUGUGGUUGCCAAGACUUUGGUCCUCCCCUGCGACAACUUCAGUCCUUCCGGCCUUCACCCAGACCCUGAGAAGUGGCCCCACAUUCCUGGUAACCCGACUCCCGAGACUGGCGGGGCGGGGCGGGUGCACGGAAGCCACGUGACUGCGCCCCGCGCACCGGGUGCAGAGACCCGGGGGACAGGUGAGCCCAGGGCACCGCGUGGACUCUGCAUCUUAAAACACACGCAUGAAAAGGGUGCUUGCUUCGCCUCCGACACCUACCGCUUUGAUCAUCACAAAUGAAAAGGCACGGCUGGCCGUGGGGUUUUAUGGCGUGAACUGGGCCGGGAGACAAAGGCGGCGCGAUCUCCGUCCUGGGCGGAGCGGGUUUUAUGGGCGCAGCGCGCAAGUCUGAACUGGGGCUUCCCGGGGAGGGCGGAGCCGGCCUGCAGGCCCCGCUCCUGCCCCUCCGUCGGUCCGAGCCGGGUCCCCGCUGCUCCUGACAGCUUGCUUCUUUGAUCUGUGAAAUGGGGAAAAUAAGGCACACUUUGAUAUACUUUAAAGGGCGCAGGGAUUUGCUGUGCUCUUCCCCAAGUAAAGGCGGGUAGAGAUUUCUUUCCGAACAGGAGGCAACAUGCUGUCACAUGUCAUCUAAUGAGCUCAGCCUCCUCUUCCAGCGCCCAUUAAUCAAUCAGCCAACACUUGUAAAGCAUCUGUAUGAAUCCUGUGUGCAGCGGGGAAGGGAGGGCAUGGUCUCUGCUCCCGAGGUAUUUAUUGUCUGGCCGGGCAGAUGAUGGAAUGAGUACGUGAGUGUGAGCCAUGAUAAUAGCUAACAUUUACAGAGCACUUCCCGUGUGCCAGGCUCCUGGUGGUACUUUGCUUUAUACCUUGUAACACUUCAUCAAGUAGGCACUGUAUUAUCAUCUCCAUUUUACAGGCACUUUAGAGCAAUCGCCUGCCCGGGUCACACCGUGUGCAGCAUUAGACUGUGGCUGCCAGCCGACAGACUGGAGGGGAGCU
rnacentral:lncRNA from 1 species